UAUUCUUUUGUUUCUUAUAUGGCGGAAGUGAUGCAGCAGCUGAUCCCUGACCUCUUCAGCGAGGCCAGGGGACAAGUCAACCGCUCAUGCGCUGGCCUCGGGAAUUGGACACCAUUUUUAAUGCAAUCCCCGUUCCAAUCUUAUUUAUGAACUUGCGAGUCCGCCAAGCUGAUUCCAAUUGAGGCUUGGAAGUCUCGUGAGUUGAGGUGAAGGAUGGUGGAAGGAAGGGGAAACGCUCGGCUCCCUUCCACCUCCCUCGACCUCUCCGGCGAACUCGUCUGAUCCGGUCCGUCGCCUGUUGCCCUCCGGGGCUGGUUCCAUGAACGCUCGGUUGACAUCCGACGGCUCCAUCUUGGGUGGCACCGCCAUUUCACUGCAGCAGAGCUCCAUUUACUCGACGUUGAAGCAGCGCAGAAGCCGGGUCCCCUGAUGGAGAGGUCGAAGAGCGAAGCGCCGACGAGGAGCCGCUUCGCUACGCCAGACGAGGCCGGAGACCACAUCGAGUGCACCGGUGCGUCGUGCCGGUCGUGCACCGCGGUCCUCGUCGCCGACUGCAUCGCGCUGGGUUGCUGCCCCUGCGCGGUGGUGAACAUGCUGGCCUUGACCUUGGUUAAGGUCCCCUGGGUGGUGUCGAGGAGAUGUUUGGCAAUGCUGAAGAGGAAAGGGGGGUCGCUACGCAGAAGAAGGGUAAGAGACGAGGGAGGAGAAGCGGAGAAGAUGACAGAGGUGGUCAUUAAGGGAAGGGAAGGGAAGAGCCUGGAGAAGAUACGAGAGUGGGACGAGGAGGGCAUCUGGGGAACGAGGGACGGAGAGAACGGCCGUGGAGGUCCAAGACUCGAUGCUGAUAAGGUGUGGAUGGAACUGUAUCAGAUCGGGCACUGGGGGUUCGGGAGGUUGUCCUUCUCGGGAACUCAAGGGAGGGGCAACUAGGGAAGGCGCAGGGUGGGAGUGCCCGAGAUGCCCCUGCCACCUCUGGUGAGUGAUGAUGGGUUUUGGAAGCUACUGCUACGGGAAGGCAUGAGAGAUGCACUGUGCCGCGUGGGGUUGUCUCUGCUUGUUUGCGCAAGGUUACAAGUCUGCGAGAGAGAUGGAAAUGUCCUGUUGGUUUCCCUUCUCUAUCAUUAGUUGCAUUGCUGAGAUUCCUUUCUCUCAGGUGCAUUGAUUGAGAAAAGCUGUACUGAUUCUUGUGACUUGUGUUAGGUGUUACAUAAUCGUAUUGAUGCAGCCCAAAUUUGAUGCAGCCAAUAAUGGUAUUAUCAUGUCUAAGUCUUUAAUGUUUGACAACAUGGAAGCUGUUUAAACA